AGCAGCCGCGGUAAUUCCAGCUCCAAUAGCGUAUAUUAAAGUUGUUGCAGUUAAAAAGCUCGUAGUUGAACUUCGGGGUUUACCCAUUGGUCAGGCUUAAUUGUCUGUACUGGUGAGAUGAAUCUCUACCUUCUGAGGAACUUUCAUGCCAUUUAUUUGGUGUGAUGGGAAAUCAGGACUGUUACUUUGAAAAAAUUAGAGUGUUUAAAGCAGGCUAACGUCUGAAUACAUUAGCAUGGAAUAAUGAAAUAGGACGGACUGAUUCUAUUUCGUUGGUUUCUAGGAUCACCGUAAUGAUUAAUAGGGAUAGCUGGGGGCAUUAGUAUUCAAUUGUCAGAGGUGAAAUUCUUGGAUUUAUUGAAGACUAACUACUGCGAAAGCAUUUGCCAAGGAUGUUUUCAUUAAUCAAGAACGAAAGUUAGGGGAUCGAAGACGAUCAGAUACCGUCGUAGUCUUAACCAUAAACUAUGCCGACUAGGGAUCGGACGAAGUUAAUUUUAUAAUGACGCGUUCGGCACCU
rnacentral:rRNA from 1 species